UACGGAGGGUGCGAGCGUUGUCUGGAAUCACUGGGCGUAAAGGGCGCGUAGGCGGCUUGGGAAGUCCGUGGUGAAAGCCCGAGGCUCAACUUCGGGUCGGCCAUGGAUACUCCUAAGCUCGAGUCGACUAGAGGCUAAUGGAAUUCCGGGUGUAGCGGUGGAAUGCGUAGAGAUCCGGAAGAACACCGGUGGCGAAGGCGGUUAGCUGGGGUCGGACUGACGCUGAGGCGCGACAGCGUGGGAGCAAACAGG
rnacentral:rRNA from 1 species